rnacentral:lncRNA from 1 species
CCGGUUGUGCUAGAUUUGGAACCUCUAGACCUUGAAGUCUGGUAUCAAAGAAUGAAGUAUUCAUAUAGGACAUCCUUGGUGUCUCAAGUUUAAGGACCAGAUACACUAUCGGAACUACGGAAUCGCUGUCUGACAAUAAGACAUCAUCAACCAUCCAACAUCUCGUAAGCGGAUCAAUCAGUGAACUCAUUCUCCAAUGAGCACCUAUACUGUAUCCCUAGUGUCCCCACACGAGCAGCUAUGAGACCAGCAACAUCCAUCAUAUGGAUGAGUAUACACCACACCAGUCUGUCCGGUUAUCUCGAUGUCCCUCC